rnacentral:rRNA from 1 species
UACGUAGGGUGCAAGCGUUGUCCGGAAUUAUUGGGCGUAAAGGGCUCGUAGGCGGUUUGUCGCGUCGGGAGUGAAAACACCGGGCUUAACUCGGUGCUUGCUUUCGAUACGGGCAGACUAGAGGCAUGCAGGGGAGAACGGAAUUCCUGGUGUAGCGGUGGAAUGCGUAGAGAGUCCGGAAGAACACCGGAGGCGAAGGCGGCUUGCUGGGCGUAGUCUGACGCGUGAGGCGCGAAAGCGUGGGGAGCGAACAGG